UUUUGCCUAACAAAAUAGAAACGAAAAAAUGAAAAAAAAACACAAAACCUAACAUUAUUACCCAGUCAAAUCAGACAGCCUGGGCACAUUAAAAUCUCUCUUUUUCAUGCUGAAUCAUCACAUCUGUUUGGCAGAAAAAAAUUUCCAAAACGUUCUUUCUUCAAUCCUGUUACCAUUUUCAAUUCUCUUUCUUUUUGAAAUUUUCUUCAAUCCAGGUUUCUUAACCAUUCCUCUUCCAUGGCUUCUUCGUUGUAGAUCGACUCAUCUCUAACCAGGUACCUCUUUUCCCCAUUUGCUAAUGUUUCUUUCGCUAUUUUGUGGGCUUGAAAGUUCUCUGAUUUUUGAAUAAACUGAAAAUCUAUUUCUUGAAAUAGCGAACUAUGACUCUUGAUAUCUUUGAUAACUACUCCAAUGAUCGAUUUAUCCAUCUCUGCCGAUUGACAUUUUUUAAUGACUGUCUUCGAAUCUCCCCUUAUUGUGACUGAUCGGGGGCCCAGUGAAAUACCCAGCUUGAUUGCUUGUAAACAAGCGAAUGCCUCUGCAAGAAAUGGGGAUGAGACAUUGGAAUGAAGGGUUGUUUUUAAGACUCUUUAUCUCUCCCCUCCAGUUUCGUACAAUGACCCCCGACGCUGAUCUGGACCUGUUUGCAUCAAAAGCUGCAUCAAAUUGUAUUGUGUCCUCCAUUUUCUCCUCCAUAUGUCUCUGUAUUCUGGCAGUCUUCAAGGUACGUCUUUCCUUACCCACUCCUUCAAGUUCUGCUAUAUAGCUCUCUACUUUCUGUGUAAGGUCCCUUCCUGAUGUGUUUUUUCUCAUGUACCAUUUGAUUUCGUGAGCUCCAUAUGAUCCAUAGCGCAACAAAACAUCUGACACUGUUCCUUAGUUUCUUUUGCAAAUACCCAUGUAAGCCAUGUUCUGGUAUUUUGAUCUGAAUAUGAUGUAACCCAAUCCAUGUUAAUAUUCUGCCAAACUUCAGUAAUUGUAGGGCAUUGCUGGAAUACAUGGAAGCUGUCCUCUUCCUCGGAGCCACAACGAGGGCAUCUCAUGUUUGUGGUUAUUCGCUUGUAUCGUAGGUUGGCUAGUGUAGGAAUAUAAUUCCAGGAUAUCCGCUAGACAAACAGUAGAGUUUUUGAUGGAAGUUGUAAAUCCCAUAACUUUCUAUAGAAUUCUUUAAAAUCUGUCUAUAAUAAGUUAUUAAAAAUCGAAUCAGCUUCUUGUAAUAGUUUAUAGUCACUCCGUACAGAGAACUCUCCGGUCGGUUCACCUUUCCAAACGCGUAAGUCUUCACUGUUCGUUUCUGCAAGUGGUAUCUCCAAAAAUUUUUGAGCUAUAUCUGAUACUAAUAAUGACCUCUGUUUUCCACUUCUUAUUUGUUUCAUCAAUUAAACCUGAUACUAUUUUUAGUUCCCUAUUUUCAUCUCCGUUCUGCCAUGUACUAGGUUCAAUCCUUGGAAUCCACCGAUUUGUCCAGAAGGAAACAUUGUUUCCUCUCCCAACUCUCCAACUUAGCCCCUGAAGGAGGAGUCUCUUUGUUGCCCAGAUGCUCUUCCAGGUAAGAGAAGGUAAAUUCCCUAACUCUGCACUUAAAAAAUCUGAUUGUGGAUAAUACUUUACUUUAAGGACUCUAGCUAAAAGUGAAUUUGGAUAAUUAAAAAGAUGCCACCCCUGUUUGGCUAAUAACACAAUAUUAAGCUGACUGAGAUUACGAAAACCCAAACCUCCCUUUUCUUUUAAACUGCAAAGAUUAUUCCAAGAGCACCAAUGAAUUCCCCCUUUACCAUGACCCUUUUCCCACCAAAAUUUUGCGAUAAUUGCUUCCAUUUCUUCGCAUAAAGUUUUUGGGAGUAAGAAGCAAGCCAUUGAAUAUGCCGGGAUGGCCUGUAAUACAGCUUUGAUGAAAACUUCUUUCCCGCCCUGCGAUAAAAAUCUAGUGCUGCAGUUGUCAAUACGCUGCCUUAGUCUAUCUUUCAAAGCCUGAAAAUAAGCCUUUUUUUUUAUCCUACCAUGGUCUGUAACACCCCUUACUCGAGACCGUUUCCGGAGUCGAGCUCAAGGAAUUACUUUAUUUAACUUAUUAGUUCGGGGCAUAAAAGUUUGCUUUUAAAAUUUAUCUCACUAUCUAUGAUAAAGCUGUCCACUCGCGCAGCAGUCACUAAAUCAUUUAUAACUCGAGCUACGAAACUCAAAAUUUAAAUCUAUAAAUUUUCCUUGAAACUAGACUCAUAUAUAUUCUUACCAUUAAUUUUUUAGAAUUUUUGGUUUAGCCAAUUAGUGUAGUUUAUUAGUUAAAGUCUCCCCUGUUUCACUACUCGAUUGUCCUAGCCUCUUGCCACUAAAAAUAAGUUUUCUCAUUUUGGGAAUUUCAUAUGGUGUUCUCACUUGUUUCUACAAAAAAUAGACUCAAUAAGGAAUCUAGACAUAAAAAUUACAACUCAUUUUUUACAAUUUUUAGUGAUUUUCUAAACUCUGAACAGGGGACUCCAAAAACGGUUCUGACCCUGUCUCACCAAAAUUCGUAUAUCUCAAAAUAUAAAAUUUCUUUUGCUAAAACGUUAUUUUUUCAUGAAAAUAGACUCAACAAAAUUUCAGUAUAUAUAUCAUACACCCUCUAAUUCAUUUUAUACUAUCCUAAGUGAUUUUUCAAAAUCACGUCAUUGCUACUGUUUGAAAUCUGUUUCUUUGCAAAUUAUUACUCUUUCAUGAUUUUUAUGCAUAAUUUAUCACAUAGACAUGUAUAACAACAAACACCUUCAUACUUAACUAUUUUGACAACAAUUCAUCUUUAGAUAUUUACACAUCAUUAUUUAGCAAAAUCGUAAUACAACAUUCAAAAUAAGUAAGUCCAUAUACAUGCCAUAGUUCAAACAUAGUUCAUCACAAAAUACCGAGUCGUUGUGGUUGAUAGUGUGGAUGAUCUCCGACGUCUUUAGGAUCCUCGACUUUGAUUAAUAAUGCUAUAUAAAAAGAAAAUAAACAAAGUAAGAAUAAUGCUUAGUAAAUUUACAAGUAAAUAAAUAGCAACAUUUAACACAAUUAAUAAUACUCAAGUGACAUAAUCUUUAAUUUCCUCUUUACUUACUUCCUUACUCGUUCUCUUGCUUGUUUACUUAGUUAACUCAUAAUUAUGACUUACUUUUCUCUUGCUGAAACGUUGAUUCUCAAUGGGUAACAUAAUAUACUCUUAGCUCUUAUAACUCACUUGAACUUGCCAUUUAUGUUUUUAACUAAACUUUCAUGAACAUAAGUUAUUUACUAGCCUGUUGAGCCACAUUGGAACAAUAAUGAUACUUGGGUCUCUUUCUGAUAAUAACAUGCCAAAACCAUGUCCCAGAUAUAGUCUUACAUGGGAUGUUUCAUGUGCUACCAAUGCCAUGUCCCAGACAUAGUCUUACAUGGGAUGUUUCAUGUGCUACCAAUGCCAUGUCCCAGACAUGAUCUUACGGGGGACCUCUCAUCUCGGUGCCAACGCAAUGUCCCAGACAUGGUCUUAUAUGGGACAUCUCAUCUCGGUGCCAACGUCAUGUCCCAGACAUGGUCUUACAUGAGACCUCUCAUGAUCUCAAGGAUGCCAAUGCCAUGUCCUAUACAUGGUCUUACAUGGGAUCUCUUUACCCAAAUGUCAUGACAUUUGCAUCCAAUACGUUCCUCAUGUUUCAACGGGGCCUUUUAACACUGAUUCUCUGUCAUCUCAUACUUGAGUUAACAUUAGAUAUUUUCAUGAAAUAAAUACAUAAUUGCUGAAAAAUAACAGUAUUAAUAAUAAUUUUUAAAAUAUUGCAUUAAUUUACCGUAAACUUACCUCGAUACCAAAUAUAGUCAAAUCUACCACUUAGUCUUCAAUCUUAUUCUUUCCUUGAUCUAACCUCAAAUUCUAUUCUUUUUGAUCUAUAAUAGCAAAUUUAACUUAUUUAAUACUUACAUUCAUUAAAACAUCCCUCGACUUCAACUUUGGAAAAAUUACAAUUUUUCCCCUAAACUUUUACAUAAUUACAUUUUUCCCCAAAGCUCAGAAAUUAAACUUCAUCUCUUAUUCUUAUGUUUUACAACAUGCUGAACAUUUUUCUCUUCUAUGACAACAUCAAAUUCUUACUCUAAAAUCUACUUAUGAACAUUAGGUAUUUUACCGAUUAUGGAGUUUUACUCGUUUUCGCUUAAAAUCGACUAGCAAAAGUUGUUUAACAUAAUUUUUAACUUCAUAUUAUAUCUUAAAACAUCAAAAUAAACACUUUUCACCUAUGAGUAUUUUUUCAAAUAUAAACCCUAGGUUAAAUUAUUACUAGAAUAAACUAAAUUAAGCUACCGGGAUCGCAAAAAUGUAAAGAACAUUAAAAACGGGGUUUGGAAUCACUUACUAUGAGCUUGAGAAAGUGUGAAAACCCUAGCUAUGGUGUCCAAAUUUUGGCAGCAAGCUUUUUUGGAGAAGAUGAUAUUUUUGCCAUCUUUUUCCCUUUUUAUUCUUUUUAUUAUUCAAUGACUAAAAUGCCCUUCAUUAAAACUUUAGUUAUUUUUAUCUAUGCAUGUCUAUUUUUUUCCAUGGAAAUUUUAUGGUCUAAUUGCUAUUUAAGGACCUCUUCUUUGAUUAUGCACUUCAAAUAAAUCCUUUAUCAUCUAAAACUCAUAUUUACCCACUUUUGCAGUUAAGUCCAAAUAGGCAAUUUAGGCAUGCAAUCAAUAAAAUUUCUUAUCAAUACUCUAGUACUUAUAUCUAAUUACUAGAUAAAUCAUAAAAAUUAAUAAUAAUUUUAUCUUUAAAUUGGAUUUGUGGUUACGAAACUACUAUUCUGAUAACCUUAAAUUUGGGCCAUUACAUGGUCGGCAAACCUAGAUAACAUUCUGGUUCAUUUGAGCUUCGGAUUCCUAGCAAGUUUACCACCUGACUUCUUUCUUCUGCCAUCGUAUUUUUGCUGGAAAAAUAGUUGAUUUGUCCAUAUUCACACACUGUCCUGAACCUCUUUUAUACUCACUUUUGAUUUCCUUGAUUGUAUUAUCCCCUCUACAUGUUGCCUCCCCAAAAAGAAUGCAAUCAUCUGCAAAUAAUAAAUGUGAUACCUGUGGUCCUCUUCUGCUUACUUUGACACCCUUCAAAAAACCUUCAUUUGUUGCUUUUCUCAUAAGACUGGAAAGGCCUUCCCCACAUAUUAAGAAAAGAAAUGGACUCAAAAGAUCACCUUGUCGAAGUCCCCUCGAUGGACUGAAUGUCACCCCGACAUUUCCAUUUACCACAACCUUGUAAGAAACAAUAGUCAUGCAUUUCAUAAUAGUAUCAAUCCAACUUCGAGCGAAACCCAUUCGACACAUUAUUUCUUUAAUAAAAUUCUAUUCAACUCUAUCAUAAGCUUUACUCAUGUCCAAUUUUACAGCCACAUAGCCCUUUUUCCCCACUCUUUUCUGUUUUAGGGAACGCAAUAUCUCGUAAGCAAGCAAAAUAUUAUCCGAGAUUAAUCUUCCUGGCACAAAGGCACUUUGUGCACUAUCAAUGCAUUUAUCAAUCACUCCUCUAAAUCUGUUCGCUAUAACUUUUGCCAUUAUUUUAUAAAUGACAUUGCAUAAACUAAAAGGCCUAAAAUGUGUCAUAUUAGCCGGGUUAUUAAUUCUUUGAAUGAGCACAAUAUGAGUUGUAUUAAUUGAACUAACCUCCAUAUCUUCAUUCAAGAGUUGUAGACAGAAGGAAACUACAUCAUCUCCAAUAAAAUGCCAAUACUUCUGAUAAAAUAAAGCUGGGAAUCCAUCUUCGCCUGGUGCCUUAGUGGGUGCCAUCUCGAACAAAGCCUCGCGGAUUUCUUCUCAUGUAUAUUGCACAGUCAGCUUUUUAUUUUCCUCUUUAUAGAUACAUCAACCAAUACCCGAGAGUAAAUAGUCGAGAUUCUCUUGAUUCUCUGAAGCAAAUAAAUUCUGGAAGUAGGACCUUGCUAUUUCUUCCAUUUCCUGGGGAUCUCCCGUAUCCCUUCCAUGUGCAUUUUGUAACCUCCUGAUCUUGUUUUUCCUCUGUCUUUGGGUUGUCUGGCUAUGGAAAAAAGCUGUAUUUUUGUCACCUAAUUUUAACCAAGUCAAUCGAGCCCUUUCCUCCUUAUAUCUUUCCUCCUUCUCAAACUCCAUAUUUAGUUGAAUCUUCGUAUCGAUCAUCUCCGCCAUGUUAAUGUCGUCCCUGUCAGCAUUGAGCAGCUCAGAUAGCUUUGUUGUUAAAAAUCUCUUUUCCAUUUUUCUUGUUUCGUAUUUUCCCAGCCCAAUUUUCAAGCCCUUUAUUUAGGAUUUUCAUUUUCUACAAAAAAUUACCUAGUGUCAUCUUCCACAGCUGCUAGCUUAAGCAACAAAUGAGUCCUCCAAAAACCACCAGUUUUCAAUUUUGAAUAUAUUCCCAUUUUGUCGUCUUGUUUCCUUUUUAGUAUCAAUUAAAAUGGGACAAUGAUCAGAAAAAGAAUGAACCAAAUGUUGAGCUUUAACGUCAGAAAAUAAUGAAAUCCAUUCCUUAUUUGCCACCCCCUAUCCAACCGUUAUCGUAUAUUUUUUUGGGAGAUUACCUCUUUCCCAUGUGAACCAUUUGCCCGAAUAACCCACAUCAUUCAAUUGACAAAACUCCAGCGCUUUUCGAAACAUUUCCAUCUGUCUUUCAUCACGGGGCAAGCCUCCCUUCUUCUCAAAACCAUACAUGACUUUAUUGAAAUCUCCACAUACUAACCAUGGUAUAUUAUCUCCAUUAGAGAGAUUUUUGAGAACAGCCCAUGAAUCUUCUUUAUCUUGUGCGUACAGGGUACCAUAGAAACCUGUAAAAAGCCACAUAACCUCCCUCUCAUUGUCAUGGACUAUCGCGUCAAUAUGCCUUUUAGAGAAAUUUUUUAAAGAAAUAUUAACGCCAUUCUUCCAUGCCAAACAUAGCCCUUCUCUAGUUCCCUCUACGUCCACCUCAAUGCCAUUCACAAAACCACAUCUCUGUCAAACUCUUUCCAUCUGUUUUCCGUAAAGUUUAGUCUCCAUAAAGAAGACUAUGUGGGGAUCACAAGUCUUCAGCAAGUGCCGAAGUCUUCUAACUGUCCGUGGACUCCCCAAUCCACGAAAAUUCCGACUUAUUAUUUUCAUAAUGCCCGGUCGGCUUGCCUCUUGGCAGCCGCCGAUGACAAAUGAUUAAGAUCCAUUAAUCUCCUAUUUCUUGCCGGGGAAUUUAACUCCUCAGUCUUUGAUAAGUCGUUACUCUCCCUUCUAGAUCUUUUUUUACCUUCUUCUCCUACUAAGGCUACAUCCUCCAAGUCAUGAUCCAUCGCAUGUUGACCAUGGUCUGUCAGUGAGCUAACCUGCUUUGCAUAAUCAAAUAGUAAGCCACCUUCCAGAUUAAUACUGAGAACUGGUUCAAUAGCCUUCCCAAAACUCUUCCUGUGCUCCAUUUUCUGUGGUCCAUUCAUAAAUCUCAUGUUUGCCUCCUGAAUCCCGUCUGAACUCCCCUCCCCUUCCUCUCGUAGCCAGACAAUAUUCAUAGUCAGAGCUCUUCGGGAUUGUGCUUUUAUUGAUAAAUCCCACCCCAUUUCAGCUAUUUUCACUCCAGUCAUCGUUUUUGCCUUACAAAACGAGUCAUUAUGGCCUAGUUUUCCAUAAUAGAAGCAGAAAAGAGUCAAUCUUUCAUAUUUAAAACAGAUAUAUGAUCGUCUCCCACAGAAUUCGAUCAACUUAGACCCUAACCCUCAUAAAGUUUCUAUUUUCUUUCCAUAAAUUUGACACAUCAUAUUCCAUAAAAUACCCCAAAAAAUUCCCUAGAUUCACUGCUAAAUUUUUAGAAAACAAACCAAUGGGCACUUUAUGUAUCUGAACCCAGAAAGGGGUUAGCACUAAAGGGACCUGCAACGAAUCCUCCCCCCACCACAGUCUAUAAAAUAUCAAUAGAUGAUUAUUGAAGGUCCAUGGGGAGCCUUUCAAAACCCUCUCCAUAUCCAUAGAAUGAAAAAAUUAGAACAAAAACCUUUUUCCCCCCAAAUCCCGAAUGCAAACUCCUCGAACAGGAUGCCAUAGUACUUUUCAUGGCUGGAAAGUGAAUUAUACUCGUUGUAAGAAAACACCCCACUAAUUGAAAAAACUAUUCACUUCUUUCCGUACCUAGAUUUUUUUGAAUUUUAAUAACAUCUUUCUCUUCGUUGAUCGAUAAUUGGGCUAAUUCAUUCUCUAUAAUUUUUAGGGACACAACGCCGUAAGCCAAAAAGAAAGACAGAAGAACAAAAAACCUAAAAUUUUGCCAAAGGCAGUAGACACAAACGUGCUAGGCGUUGCUGAAUUAAAAGAACUUACAUCAACAAGAAUAAUCACAAAUGGAAAUGAGCUUUUCGACAGAAUAUGAAACUAAUUAUUCAAGCUCAAUAAAAAAAUAUGUUUUUGUUCUUUUUUUUCUUUUCGAUUUAUUUUUUUUUUGAGAAAUAAGAAAUAAAAUUCAACAAUUUCAAAAAAAAAUGAAACAUAGUUAGGCAACUAACCAAAUCAAAUCUUGACAAAAAGGGGAGUCAAUAAAAACAACAAUUAAGGUGGUUAAAUGGGUUAAAUCUUAAGUGUCUCUAUAAUGUCAAUAUAUUAAAUCAAUAAUGUGGUCUAGAUAUGUAUAAUAUAAGCAAGUUCUAGAAUAACAAAUGAAGUUGACAUACUUUCAACCAAAAAUAAAAUGAUCACGAAUAAAUAUAUGCUCUAUAGGCUCAAAGGCUCACAAAAAAUUAAGGUUUUGAUGUCAAACUUGCAAUUUCAGAGUUUGAAGAUAAUAAUUCAAUUCAGGAAGGCAACCUAAAAUAUUUAUUUCUUAAAAAAUAACUUAUCAUGCUUGACUGUCUCGUGCCUUAAAGACACACAAAUUAAUCCAAAACAAUAUCAAUAAAAAUUUCAAAUAAAAAAAUUCACUCUAAUGGAUAACCUCCUCAGACUUAAGAUAUACAUUGUCCUUAAUGUGCAAAUAGAUGUAAGCACAGAAUAAGACAAUAUCAAAAGAGAGGGAGAACUGAAACUGCCUUGAAUAUGGAUGAAUUCGCCAUAAUAGUGAAAACUGGAAUCGUAAGCGAGUUUAAAUGAAAUGCAUGUUUCUGAGCAAACUAAUAAGAAAAUGAACAAAAAUAAAUAAGAAGGUAAAGAGAUUACAAACUCGAACAAAAAAACCAUCAAAAUAAUAAAAAUAACAACAUAGUUUAAAAUAGAAAUAAAAUAAAUUAGUAUCACAAAAAAUACAACAAUUAAAAAUAAAAGCACAAUUGAAAAUAAAACAAAUAAAGCAAAUAAAAUGAAAAAAUCAGUGAUCGUCGUCGUGAGAGGCGUCAGGAUCGCGCGGAACAUAAGCAGAAUGAGAGAUAUGGAGGUGUUGGUGAAUCGAUGCAAGGUCGCGUAAAUGUUUGUUGAACAGUGCUAACUGUUACUUGACGUACUCAUAAUGUAACCGCUCGAGGUGAUUUAGCCGAUGUGAAAUAUCGUCGAGUGUGACUGAAUGUGCAGGUGUGGUAGUAGAAGGGCUUGGAGAAGUGGGAAUGGGUCGCAGUGCUGGGGGGAGAUCAUUGUUAAGGUGCUCAUUAUCCUUGUGCUAUUAAGUCGCUCGUAGCAACACAUACUGAUCACCGAAAGGCCCAGACUAACGAGCGAUCAUCCUCAUGUGUUUCAUAAUAUUUAAACCUUGUGGUGUCAUGUCCCCAACCAAAGUAAGAGUACUAAUCUGUUCUCGAGUCUCGAUAAGACUGAAGAGACUAGUCAAGAGUGUGAUAUAUAGACCCAUACAAAGAGGUCCUCUCCGUGACCUCUCACCCUGAUUACAACAACACUGAGCUACGAAGUGGGAUAGAUCAAUCAGAUGUUGUCUGUGCAUGCUCUAUAAGAAAUGUGCAUCUAAAGUGCCCAUGACGCUUGUAACGACCCAUUUUCAGUGGUGUUAGAAAUAGUGAUUUUGGGACCACAAUUCUGACGAGUGAAUUAUUAUUUUAUCAUUUAUUUAAUGUUUAUUGGAUUAUAUUAAUGUCGUAUUAAAAUUUUGUUAAGAAAUUUUGAUGUUUAAAUGGUUAAUUAGGUGAAAAGGACUAAACCGUAAAAAGUGUAAAAGUUGAGAGUUCUAUUAGUUAAAGUGGUCCAAUGACUAUGAAAUCAAAAAACUAAAAGGAUUGAUUGGUAAAUAUACCAUUUAAAGUGUCAAUAGAUGUGCAUGGACAAGGUUUUAAUGAAAUUUUGAUAGUUUUUAAAGGUUAAAAUGACAAUUGAAUAAUUAACUUAAAAACAAAACAAAUUAAAAAUGGUAUCAUCUUCAUCCUUGGCUAUCUCCACCAAAAUUUGAAGAGAAAAACAUGAUUAGGAUAGGGUUGAGAAUUCGAUCAAGUUUCUACUUGUAUGUAAGUGAAUUCAAGCUCCGUUUUUAAUAAUUUUUGUGUUUUUAGUUCAUUUUAGUUUAAUCUAGCUAGCCCGGGGGUUAAUUUGCAAAGCUAUUAAUGGUUGAAAGACUUUUCAUGGAUAUUUUUGAAUAUGUUUUGACGUUUUUUGAUGGAUUAUUUAUCUUUAUUGUAAAAUAAACAUGUUUGUUAAGUGAUUUUUAUUGAAUUUUAGAAAUAUGGAUUAGAUUGUUAAAAGUAUAAAUCCAUGGGUUUUGUUGUGAAAUGUUGGUAAUAAUGGGUUGUUUCAAGGUCUCUUUGAACAUUGGUUAAGUUGGAUUUAGGUUAAAAUGAUUAGAGUUUAAGUUAUGAGCUUGAGGACUAAAUUGUGAAAAGUCAAAGUAUUAGGGUAAAUUUUGUAAUUCUUCAUAAAUAUUAAUUAUGGAUUAAAUUUAAUUCUAGAAGUACUUAAUUGAAUGAAAUUAUUUAUUUAGAUCAAGAUAAACCACAAUCAUACUUAAAUUGAAGAAAAGCUAAAGCUUCGGAUUAGUGUUCGAUUAUACUUUUACGCCCUAGUUAUCGAGGUAAGUUCGUAUGAACUAUGAUCGUUUUAAUGUUAGUUAAAUUGACUAUUUGAUGUGUUGUUUUAAUAUAAAUGAAUCUAUGUAUAAAUGUAUCUAAGUUAUGAUGAUUUGACAGAUAACGAGUCUUGUUUGAACCUUAAGAAUUCUUAGGAUACAAAUGACAUGUCAUUUGGGAUUUCAUGUUUCGGGUGUUGGUUUUGAAUGUCCUAUCGAUGACCGAGGUCCUGUAUUUGUUGCGAGUUUUUCAUAGCUCGUGUGGGCAGCAUCGUGUAGCUAACAUUCUGACCCAUAACUCAUGUGAGCAGACCUAUUUCAUAGCUCGUGUGAGCAUUAAUGUAAAGGAAAUGUUACGGUUAUAUGGAAAGGCACACUACGUGUGAGCAUUCCUGAGUAUCUGAUGUAAUUUUAGAUGGUUCAAUGGGUAAGAAAAGGAAAUGAAAUGGUAAGUAUGCAAAUGGAAUGAAUCAUGAUUUUAUAAUGACAUUGAUGAGUUAAAUGAUGUGUUUAUAUAUGGUAAACUACAUAUCUUAUGGUUGAUUUCAUUUGUAUCAUGAACAAGUAUACUAACUUGUUAGUUUGAUGAUGUUGUAUAGGCUUUUACUAAGCUUAUGGCAUUGGUAAUGAUUUAUGCUUAAUCUAUGAAUUGUAUAAAUGAAAUGGUAAGUUAUGCUAAGUUUUUACGAGCUUACUAAGCACUCGUUGCUUACAUAGUUACUUUCUUUUGUUUUAUAGAUUAUUUAAAGCUCGAUCGGUUGGAAGUUAAUCGAAGACCUAUCACACUAUCCAACAAUCAUUUCAAUAGUUUUUUUUUGUGUGUAUUUUGGCCAAGGUUAAUAAUGACAUGUAUAAGAUCUUUGUAAUGUAAGUUUUGGUAUGUUUAAGCUUUUGCAGUUAUGUUGGUUUGGUGCACUUUGAUAUCUUACCAAGUUAUGUCAUAUUGGUCACUUAAGUGCUUUUAAACAAAGUUCUUUUGGUAUGUUUUGAUGGCUUGAAAAUGGCCAUAUGUGGUAGUUAAUUGAACUAGGUUAUUAUGCUUGGGAAUAUACAAUAUUGACUUGUUUUGGUAAGUGAUGUUUUGAUAUAUUUGUGGUGCCUUUGAGUGGCAUAUUGGUUAGAUGAAUUAGGGUGUUUGAAAAGGCAUGUUUUUGUGUAUUUGAAUGAAGUUUAAAUUCCUUGAAUGUAUGCCCAAAUGGUUUGAAUGGUUAGGUAUGAAUUGGACUUGAAAUGGCUUGAUUUUAGGUUAAAUUUUGGGUUCACAUGGCCUGGGACACGGGCUGUCACAUGGCCGUGUGACACACACAGCCUGGCGACACGGUCGUGUGUCAUUUCAAAUUUUUUAGUGAUUCAAGUCAGUGAGUUACACGGCCUGACACACAGGCGUGUGUGGCAACUCAGAGAGUUAUACGACCAUGUGACCCUUCUCAGUGAGUUACACGGGUGAGGAAACAUGCUAGGACACCGUCGUGUGUCCUUUGUUCGAAUGUGUCACGGCUUGGCCACACGACUGUGUGACCCCCGUUUUCAUAUUUUUGCAUCUUUUUCUUAAAAUUUCUAUUUUGUUUCGAUUCAGUCCUGAAUUGUUUCUAAGCUAUUUUUAGGGCCUCGAAGGCUCGAUUUAGGGAUAAAAUGCAUAUGAAUGAUUGGUUUACAAUAAAUUUAAUUUAUUUUAUAUUAUAGUGUUAAAUGAUUUUCGGUUGAAAGGUAAUGCUCUGUAACCCUAAUCUAGCGACGGAGACGAGUUGGGGUGUUUCAAUGCUUGUACUAUUCUUUCGUCUAGUUAAAGUAUGAACUAGAAUGACAUGAAUAUAUUACAAGGUUGGAGGGAGGCACUUAGCCUUAGACUGGCUCGGGUUGCACGGAAUGACAGCCUCAGAGAUUUCUGACGAACAUAGAAAGAUCGAUUAAUGGAUGUGUUGUGGGACGGAUGAGAGCUCGGUCACUACUAAGAAAUCAUUAGAAUAUAGGCUGAGAGUGACAGCAAAAAUUGCAAUACUAAAGUGUUGAGUGAUACCCUCAAGACAGAAUGAUAUAGCUCGUGGGUCAUCCCCCGAGAAUAAUACAGUCGGUAGGAAGAAUGUGGAGAAAAACUUGAAUGUAAGCUCAACAUAUGUCGACUCCACGAUCGUGAAGAAUCGAUCCCAUGGGGUUGCGAUUAAAAGAGAAUGAAUCGGUGUGAAUAAGUCCACAAUAUGGAAGGCAUCCCAAUCUACACGUCUACCCACGCCCAAUGCUCUAUCCUUAAGAUUCUGGCACUCUCCACAUAGGGUGGAUGGUCGAAGGUGAGGUAUUGGUAACGAGUGGUUGUUAUCGGAGAGGAUGAAGAUGAGGUCCAUGUGGCUUUUCUUUUAUUAGAAUAAGUGGGGACCCCACUUUUUCCUCGUCGGUUUUGCAUUUUGUAUCUGAAAUAAAAUAUAAUAACCAAAUAUCAGAUAACCAAAAAUCAAAACCACAAAAAAUAAAUCUAGCAAAUAGACAAAUCAACAUACGAAAUAAAACAUAUCGGCAAGCGAACUACCUCACGAUAAAAGUCAAAUCACAACGAGUCUAACCGAAAUCUACUUCGAAUACAAAACUUGAGCUAAUACUAAUACUAUUGAGGCAAAAAAAAAUUAAACUAACCAACUAAAACUAAUAAUAAUAGAAUAAUAAAAUAAUAACAAUAAUACUAAUACUAAACAAAAUAAACAUAUUAAUAAUAGUAGGAGUAAUAAUAAUUAAAAUAAUAAGAAAAUAAAUAAAAACAAAAAUAAUAAAAAUUAAAUAAAAUGAAAUGAAAGAAUAGGGUUGAGCCAAACGGUGGUAACAGCAAUGGUUGGUGGCGAUGGUGAAUGGAGGCGCGGUGGUAGAAGCGAGUGAGGACGUGGGAGAGGGCUGAUGGUGGUAAUGCACAGGUGAAGAGGGUUAGAACAGAGGGAAAAAAACCAGACGGUAGAGGAAAUGGCAUGAUUGACGGUGGGGGAAGGAAAUGGAAAAAGAGAAGCGCGGGAAGGAAAGGAAACGACAUGAUCGACGGUAGAGGACGUGUGUCUAGCCAAUGUGGAAUGGCCCAGCUUGUGUGGCUCUGAAAGAUUCCUCCGAUUUUUUGAUUUUCGCUCCUUUUGCUUCCAAAUGCUCUCCUAAGUAUAAAAACAUGAAUAUAUAGGAUUAGGGGCAUAAAAUUCACCAUUUUAAAUCGAAUAAUGAUCCAAAACUGCAUUAAGAAUAAGGCUAAAACAUGUUACUUUUGGCAUUUAUCAAUAGGAAAUGGGUUGGUUUGAAAAUAAAUGGAUUGCUUGUCGUAGAAUAUUAUUCUCGGCAUAACUCAAAAUAUAAAAUUUUAAAAAUUAUAUUUAAUACAAUAAAACAUUUAUUAUAUUUAUGGUAGUAUUUUUUAAUGUGGUAUGAAACUCUUAGUUGAUGAAACGUGUUUAGUGGUAGAUUGAAUAGCCUAUUAGAUCAUUAAUUCUGAAGCCAUUAAUCAUAUUUGUGUUUAUUGCAGGGGUUCAAGUAAAUGAGAAGCCUUCGUGAGAAGGAUCUCUCGUUGCAAACUAGAGAUGGGCGAAAUGUAGAGGCAAAAGUAGUGGGAGAAGUACAUUUGUAUUUUGAUAAUUUUAGGAAGAUCAUUUUAAAAAACAUUUUUUAUCUACCUAGUUUUAGGAGAAAUUUAAUUUCUGUUGCAUGUUUAUUUCAAAACAAUUUUUUUUUUACUUUUAAUAAAGGGAUUGCAAUUCAUAAAAA
rnacentral:lncRNA from 1 species